AACGGCCGCGGUAUUUUGCCCGUGCAAAGGUAGCGCAAUCAAUUGUCUUUUAAAUGAAGGCCUGUAUGAAUGGCACAACGAGGGCUUAACUGUCUCCUUUUUCCAGUCAAUGAAAUUGAUCUUCCCGUGCAGAAGCGGGAAUUUUAACAUAAGACGAGAAGACCCUAUGGAGCUUAUAAACGCAAGAACAGACCACGUCAAUCACUCUGAUUUAUCAGACUAAACUAACUGAGCACCCUGUUCUCAUGUUUUUGGUUGGGGCGACCAUGGAGCAAAACUUAACCUCCSCGCCGAACGAAAAUAUACUAUUUUCCAAUUUAAGGAAAACAACCCUAAAAAUCAGAACAUCUGACUUUUAUUGAUCCGGCUAAGCCGAUUUACGAACCGAGUUACCCUAGGGAUAACAGCGCAAUUCUCUUUUAGAGUUCUUAUCGACAAGAGGGUUUACGACCUCGAUGUUGGACCAGGACAUCCUAAU
rnacentral:rRNA from 1 species